rnacentral:rRNA from 1 species
GACGCAGUAGGAUAGGCGAAGCGUGCUGUUGGAGUGCACGUCCAAGCAGUGAGAUUGAGUGUUAGGCAAAUCCGGCACUCUUAAGAUUGAGCUGUGAUGGGGAGAGGAACUUGUUCCUCGAGUCGUUGAUUUCACACUGCCGAGAAAAGCCUCUAGCUAGAAUAACGGUGCCCGUACCGCAAACCGACACAGGUAGUCAAGAUGAGAAUUCUAAGGUGAGCGAGCGAACUCUCGUUAAGGAACUCGGCAAAAUGACCCCGUAACUUCGGGAGAAGGGGUGCUCUUUGAGGUUCACGCUUCGAAGAGCCGCAGUGAAUAGGCCCAAGCGACUGUUUAUCAAAAACACAGGUCUCUGCUAAACCGUAAGGUGA